AGUGAACGCUGGCGGCGUGCCUAAUACAUGCAAGUCGAACGGAGUGGCGCACGGGUGAGUAAUGUAUAGCUAAUCUGCCCUCCACUAGAGGACACCAGUUGGAAACGGCUGCUAAUACUCUAUAGUGUAGGAUGAGGCUAUAUUGUAUCAGCUAGUUGGUGAGGUAAUGGCCGACCAAGGCUCUGACGCAUAACUAGUCUAAGAGGAUGAUCAGUAGCACUGGAAGUGAGACACGAGCCGGGCUCCUACGGGAGGCAGCGGUAGGGAAUAUUGCUCAAUGGGGGAAACCCUGAAGGAGCAACGCAGCGUGGAGGAUGACACGUUUCGGAGAGUAAACUCCUUUUGUUAGGGAAGCGGUACCUAACGAAUAAGCACCGGCUAACUCCGUGCCAGCAGCCGCGGUAAUAC
rnacentral:rRNA from 1 species